rnacentral:misc_RNA from 1 species
AAGUCGUAACAAGGUUUCCGUAGGUGAACCUGCGGAAGGAUCAUUAACGAGUAAUUGGACAGGUUGUAGCUGGCCUCUCUUGGGGCAUGUGCACGCCUGGCUCAUCCUCCUCUUCUUCAACCUCUGUGCACUUGUUUUGUAGGGUGGUGUGAAAAAGCAAAGUUCUCUUGGAAAUUUGCUCGGAAGCCUUCCUAUGUUUCAUUACAAACGCUGCAGUCUGAGAAUGUAAUUUUUGUGCGUAUAAUGCGUCUACAAUACAACUUUCAGCAACGGAUCUCUUGGCUCUC